rnacentral:tRNA from 1 species
UAUGAACGGAUUACUUUUAACAGACGGAUACAAAACAGGUCAUCACCAACAGUAUCCAGUGGGAACAG